CCUACGGGUCGCAGCAGUGAGGAAUAUUGGUCAAUGGACGAGAGUCUGAACCAGCCAAGUAGCGUGAAGGAUGACUGCCAUACGGGUUGUAAACUUCUUUUAUAUGGGAAUAAAAUGUUCCACGUGUGGGUUUUUGUAUGUACCAUAUGAAUAAGGAUCGGCUAACUCCGUGCCAGCAGCCGCGGUAAUACGGAGGAUCCGAGCGUUAUCCGGAUUUAUUGGGUUUAAAGGGAGCGUAGGUGGUUUGUUAAGUCAGUUGUGAAAGUUUGCGGCUCAACCGUAAAAUUGCAGUUGAAACUGGCAGUCUUGAGUACAGUAGAGGUGGGCGGAAGUCGUGGUGUAGCGGUGAAAUGCUUAGAUAUCACGAAGAACUCCGAUUGCGAAGGCAGCUCACUGGACUGAAACUGACACUGAGGCUCGAAAGUGUGGGUAUCAAACAGGAUUAGAUACCCUGGUAGUC
rnacentral:rRNA from 1 species